rnacentral:rRNA from 1 species
GACGAACGCUGGCGGCGUGCUUAACACAUGCAAGUCGAACGGAAAGGCCCUGCUUUUGUGGGGUGCUCGAGUGGCGAACGGGUGAGUAACACGUGAGUAACCUGCCCUUGACUUUGGGAUAACUUCAGGAAACUGGGGCUAAUACCGGAUAGGAGCUCCUGCUGCAUGGUGGGGGUUGGAAAGAUUCGGCGGUUGGGGAUGGACUCGCGGCUUAUCAGCUUGUUGGUGGGGUAGUGGCUUACCAAGGCUUUGACGGGUAGCCGGCCUGAGAGGGUGACCGGCGACAUUGGGACUGAGAUACGGCCCAGACUCCUACGGGAGGCAGCAGUGGGGAAUAUUGCACAAUGGGCGGAAGCCUGAUGCAGCAACGCCGCGUGCGGGAUGACGGCCUUCGGGUUGUAAACCGCUUUCGCCUGUGACGAAGCGUGAGUGACGGUAAUGGGUAAAGAAGCACCGGCUAACUACGUG